UCUUCAUUGACUUGGUAACGUAGCUAACGCGUGAAGUUGACCGCCUGGGGAGUACGGUCGCAAGAUUAAAACUCAAAGGAAUUGACGGGGACCCGCACAAGCGGUGGAUGAUGUGGAUUAAUUCGAUGCAACGCGAAAAACCUUACCUACCCUUGACAUGUAUGGAAUCCUGCUGAGAGGUGGGAGUGCCCGAAAGGGAGCCAUAACACAGGUGCUGCAUGGCUGUCGUCAGCUCGUGUCGUGAGAUGUUGGGUUAAGUCCCGCAACGAGCGCAACCCUUGUCCCUAGUUGCUACGCAAGAGCACUCUAGGGAGACUGCCGGUGACAAACCGGAGGAAGGUGGGGAUGACGUCAAGUCCUCAUGGCCCUUAUGGGUAGGGCUUCACACGUCAUACAAUGGUCGGAACAGAGGGUCGCCAACCCGCGAGGGGGAGCCAAUCCCAGAAAACCGAUCGUAGUCCGGAUCGCACUCUGCAACUCGAGUGCGUGAAGCUGGAAUCGCUAGUAAUCGCGGAUCAGCA
rnacentral:rRNA from 1 species